rnacentral:rRNA from 1 species
GAUGAACGCUGGCGGCGUGCCUAAUACAUGCAAGUCGAGCGAACGGACGAGAAGCUUGCUUCUCUGAUGUUAGCGGCGGACGGGUGAGUAACACGUGGAUAACCUACCUAUAAUACUGGGAUAACUUCGGGAAACCGGAGCUAAUACCGGAUAAUAUUUUGAACCGCAUGGUUCAAAAGUGAAAGACGGUCUUGCUGUCACUUAUAGAUGGAUCCGCGCUGCAUUAGCUAGUUGGUAAGGUAACGGCUUACCAAGGCAACGAUGCAUAGCCGACCUGAGAGGGUGAUCGGCCACACUGGAACUGAGACACGGUCCAGACUCCUACGGGAGGCAGCAGUAGGGAAUCUUCCGCAAUGGGCGAAAGCCUGACGGAGCAACGCCGCGUGAGUGAUGAAGGUCUUCGGAUCGUAAAACUCUGUUAUUAGGGAAGAACAUAUGUGUAAGUAACUGUGCACAUCUUGACGGUACCUAAUCAGAAAGCCACGGCUAACUACGUG